UACAGAGGUCCCAAGCGUUGUUCGGAUUCACUGGGCGUAAAGGGUGCGUAGGCUGUCGGGUAAGUCUGAUGUGAAAUCUCACAGCUUAACUGUGAAACUGCAUUGGAUACUAUCCGGCUAGAGGAAUGGAGGGGAGACUGGAAUACUUGGUGUAGCAGUGAAAUGCGUAGAUAUCAAGUGGAACACCAGUGGCGAAGGCGAGUCUCUGGACAUUUCCUGACACUGAGACACGAAAGCCAGGGGAGCGAACGGG
rnacentral:rRNA from 1 species